rnacentral:lncRNA from 1 species
AAAAAGAAAAAUGCUGUGAUAAACCAAAAGGGAAAAAAAAUCCUCCUCCAUGUGGUGUUGUAUUUUUUCCUUCCAAUUUGGACACUACAGUUGCUCUCCCAAAGGACGUUCAAAGACCAGUUUGUACUGAUGAAAUGCUCAACUUUGUAAUCACAACACUUUCUAUUUUCUAGACUACUUUUUUUGUUCAGUGGUUUUUCUAUCAGCUGGAAUAUUACAGCCUGGAAGAUCCCAGGCUUAGGACGAAACCUUUGUUUUCCUUUUAUUUCUCCCUUCCACUCCCAACUUCUCCUUCCUUUUUUUUCCUCCUCUUUCUUCUUGCCCCUUUUUGUUUUCUUUUUUCCCCUGUAUGCCCAUAGUAGAUGCAGCCAGGUGGACAUGACAAUGAAAAUUUUUGACAGACUGCUUCUCCUCUCUUCUCUCUCUUCUUUUUCCUUUCUUUCUCUCCUUUUAAAAGAAAAGAAAAUCCUCCAUGGUUCAGAUCUUAGCGUCUCAAGGGCACUUUCAGCAAAUUGUGUAAUAAGUGCUUUAUAUAAGAAUGCAGUGCUGGGGAAGAUUUUUACAGGAGAAAGAUGACUUUUAACAGAAAGAACCCAGUGUAUUUUUGGAAAAAAAAUAUUUUUUAUGUUAAACAGUUUUAAAAGCCUAAAAUGGCCACCAAAUGUAGACCAGGUGUGUAAUUCAAGCAAAAAGAGUGACACAGAGUCCAAGGAACAUGAAAGGUGCAGUAUCCUUUUUCUCUCCUCUCUCAAAGUGCUGUAAGAAGAAAAUGCCAUUUGAUACAAUCAAUGCCAGUCCUUUCCUUAGAGUCCUCUUCCAGCAGCCAGCCACUUGCAUAGUCUCACUUCAUUCUUGUGGCUGUUUGGUGAUGUGCACUUAUUAGAAGGGAUUCGUAAGUUUGAGACUAUAAACAUAGCAUUCAUUUUCUUGAGGCCAUAUUUUCGUUUAUUCUUAGGAACCAGGAGAAAAUGAUUACGUAUCUUCUCUGCUCUAGCAGUAGUUUGAACGUCAAACAGGACAUGGGUUGGGCUGCCCACAGCCCUGCUGAGCAGUGCUGUCCUCCGCUGUUCAUCCCACUCAGCUCUUUCUCUUCCAGUAAGUCACUGGGAUUUUACCACUCACUUAAUGGGACCAGUUGGACCAAGAUUUAUUGACUGCAUCUGUCACAUUGUUGAAGAGCAGACUUUGCCAAGCUCCUGUCCAUCCAUGGUUGGCACACACCUGGAAGCCGGCUCUUCCAUGGCAUCGGGCGGCAUGUGGUGCUGCCGUUGCGCUCAGCCUACGUGUCCUGCCUGCUACAAGGAAAGAUCUGGGUCUGCACUUGGAGGCUUCACUGUCAGCCCAGGCAGGUUUAGCCAAGAGGGUGUCCUCAGUGCAGUGCUCAGAAGACAACAUAGAACUCUCCGUUAGGUGAGGACUGAUAAAAGACGUAUAAAUUAUAUCUCAACAUAUAUACUGCUAUAAAGUUCCAGUGGGUGAAGUGAUCAGAAUGACAAUAAAGACGGGAAGCACCACCUAUCCGCUUUGGACAUGAUUUCCUCUGCAAGCAAGACACCUGCAGGGAUGCAUCCUGAUGACAACAUUGAGAGCAAAUGAUGGCUGCAAAGAAGAAUGCAUGGGCAGAGUUUACUGAAGCUGCUGUAAACUGUGGGGGAACCUUGGGGUGGUGGCAGCCGUUAUUUAGACAAAUCCUUAGAACUGGCUGAAUCAAACAAGUGUCCUCUCCUGGCCCACAGGCUAGAGAAAGAAAAACAAGCAGAGAACUCCCUUGACAUCGUGUGGUACCUUCCUGCCCAAAGUCUCUGUUUCUGUAAUGCAAGAUCUUCCCUUUGGUUUGGCCACAGCUGCUAAAGGGAUUUGAUCUGAGCAAAACCAAAACCAGAGCCCUAGUGCUGAACUGGUGGUGCAAGACCCACCAGUCAUCAUCGUGGCAUCAUCAUGGAAUCUGUAGCUCAUUUAUUCUCCUGUGUUUUCCUCUCUUUACGCUUGCAUCUGCGCAGUGUCUUAAUCCUUCCAGUGGAACUAACCACUGCCAGCUUCAGCUGCAUUUCUUAAACAUACACAUUUGGAAACAAGAACUCAAGAAUGAAAAUAAAUAAUUCCUAAAAAAGUUACUCAGUCCUGAGGUGAAAACAGUUAUGAGGGAUUUUGUUUAUUACAGAGAGUUAGGCUUGUUCAUAAUUUAUAUCAAAGAAUUGGACACUGGAAAGUAUCAAGGUUUAUUUUUGGUGUUAAAUGCAUUUAUGUGUUGGUUUUAGUUUUCUGCUCCAAGAGCAUGGGCUGUAGAUGAUUACCUGGCAGUUUUGCACUGUUUUAUAAUAACCACGUGUACCUACUCAUUUAAGUUACUACUUUUUUUAAAAAAGUACUUGUUCAAAGAGAGACUUGAAUUUGAAUACAAAGGUUUAAUGUGGUUUUAUAAAGCAUGGUUGGGUCAAUGACUUGAUUACAAUCAUUGCACAUACACGGUUGACUUCCUAAGCUGCUUUUGGGUGGCGUUUCUGAGAAUUAACAUGCAGAAGCCCCCGUUCUGCAGGUGGGGGAGGGCAGUGGGAUGGGGCCCUGGCCUCACUCUGUCCCUCGAGUGACACCCUCAUGGGCCAGACCGUGGGGUUCAGAGAGAUGAGGUUGCUCAGGCCAAGCGCAGCGAUGGCCAUGUGGCCACCUGGCUACGUAGCCCAUGUCUCGUGGUUGUUCCCGCCAUAGCUACUGUAGAUAACUCAGCAGUGUCCAUGGUGCCUGUUUCUUUUUCCUUUUUCAAUAUUGUCGGAACACCGCGUUUCCUCCGCGCACCUGCACGGAGUUAAGAAGCCGAAAAUCAGUUGGCUGGCGAAGACUGUGUGAGAGAAGCUGCUGGUCCAGGGAGUUUUCUAUACAGGCCAUCAGAUGUGAAAGCAGCGUAUGCAAAAAGCUAAGAAAAUUGACCUUUCUUCCCUUCCCCAAGACCGUAGAGACUGGAAGAUCCUCAAAGAUACUGUAGUAGGUCAUUAUCAGCCAAGGGCAGCUAGGAAGGAAGGCAGAAGACGUAGCUGCAGAGGCUAAUCCUAGCCUAGCACGCUGCUUGCUCCAGGAGAUGGGCAACGGGGAUAGAGGGCCUUUUCCAUGCUGGACUUAAGGUGGAUGUCUAAGCCCAGACCUGCCGAACUGCCCACAGGGAAGCUCUUGCUUUCCCCCUCUGCUGUGGCAGCAUCCCCUGGGCUAGUGAUGCCGUUCUGUGGGCUAUUGAUGCCGUUCUGCAGCUCCCUGCACCAGAACCACAUACAGCAACAGGCCAGCAAACUUGAGACUGUUUUUUUUCAUAACAAUAUUUUUUGACAAUUCUGUUUCUAGUUCUUUCUAACAGAAGAGAAAUGGAAGAAACUAAGUGACCAAACAGGACUGUGAAACCAUGGAGAGGCUGACUGGAUUUUUGUCAUUGCUGGCUGUCUGGAACUGGCCUUGAAAUGAAAAUAAAAAACCGCUCGACUCUGUGGGUUAGAAGGAUACUGAAUCUUUUAUGUAGAAAACACUGGGUCCCUUAUGGGGCACUAAAGGGCCUGAUUUACAGGGUUAUACACACAUUAACCCCAUGCUACAUCUUAGAAAUUUCCUUUUAAUUUGUUUAAUAAAAAAAAAAAGAAAAAAUAGAUAAUUUUAGAGCCAAGUGAAGUGCACUUUGUCAAAUGUAAGGGUCUGCUUUGUUUUUGGGUUUCUUUUUUCUUUUUCCCUUUUUAAUUUUUCCUCCUUUUUUUUCCCUCCUUUUGCCUUUUUAAAAGAUGUGGUUCUUUGUCAGUUGCAGAAAUGUUCUUUCAGCCACUCACUGAAAUUCUGAAUUCUGGCUUCUGCAGUUUUUAUUGUCUGUGUCAGACUUGCAGCCAGACUUGGUUCUCAUUUCAGCAUUUCCCAGGUUCUGUUGAAACAACAUCAACCCUUAUUUUGUUUCUCCCCCACCCACACUUUCUUCAAAUUCACCUUGUGUAUUGUAGCUCAUUUGUUUUAAGGAGAGAAUCAACAGAUCAUAUUCAGUGUCUUGAAUAAAUUGCUAUAUUUUGAUAUUA